GACGAACGCUGGCGGCGUGCCUAAUACAUGCAAGUAGAACGCUGAAGGAGGAGCUUGCUUCUCUGGAUGAGUUGCGAACGGGUGAGUAACGCGUAGGUAACCUGCCUGGUAGCGGGGGAUAACUAUUGGAAACUAUAGCUAAUACCGCAUAAGAGUAGAUGUUGCAUGACAUUUGCUUAAAAGUUGCAAUUGCAUCACUACCAGUUGGACCUGCGUUGUAUUAGCUAGUUGGUGGGGUAGCGGCUCACCUAGGCGACGAUACAUAGCCGACCUGAGAGGGUGAUGGGCCACACUGGGACGGAGACACGGCACAGACGCCUAGGGGAGGGAGCAGUAGGGAAACGUCAGCAAGGGACGGAAGUCAGAGCGAGAAACGCGGAGGGAGUGAAGAAGAAUUUCGGAUAGGAGAGCUCGGUUGUAAGGGAAGAACGAGUGUGAGAGUGGAAAGUUGACACUGUGACGGUAUCUGACCAGAAAGGAACGGCUAACUACGUG
rnacentral:rRNA from 1 species